rnacentral:rRNA from 3 species
CGUGAACCUUUACUAUAGCUUGACACUGAACAUUGAGCCUUGAUGUGUAGGAUAGGUGGGAGGCUUUGAAGUGUGGACGCCAGUCUGCAUGGAGCCGACUUGAAAUACCACCCUUUAAUGUUUGAUGUUCUAACGUUGACCCGUAAUCCGGGUUGCGGACAGUGUCUGGUGGGUAGUUUGACUGGGGCGGUCUCCUCCUAAA